GAGUUCGCGGGAGAGUAGGUUAUUGCCAGGGUUUUUAUUUUAUACUUUAAACCUUAAAUUUAUUUUUUAAAUGUUUAUAUUAUUUGAAUAAAACAUUCAAAUAAUAUAAAAAAUAAUAUAUAUAUUGACAUGGAUUAAACAAAGAUAUAUAUUAUUUUAUGUUGUAUAAACAAAUUGGCAAAAUAGAGAUGGAAGAUAAAAAUAUGGUCAAAGUAAUAAGAGUCUAUGGUGGAUGCCUAGGAGCUUUAAGGCGAAGAAGGUCGUGAUAAGCUGCGAAAAGCUUGGGGGGAGAAGCAAACAUUUAUUGAUCCCAAGAUUACCGAAUGGAGUAAUCCAGCUAGCAAGAUGCUAGCUAUCUAUUAUCUAAAUAAUAGAGGCGAUACCAGGGGAAGUGAACCAUCUAAGUACCCUGAACCA
rnacentral:misc_RNA from 1 species